AGUAAUUGGUAUAGUUUUUUGUCUGCCUAUCACGUUUGUUGUUGUUGUUGUGGAAGGAGUUGAACGUAUUGCCUUAUUUUACGUAUUUUCCUUUUGUUUGUUUUUUCUGUAUAUUUGCUUUGUUUAAUUUUGAAGUUAGGUUCGGCGAUUCUGGGCAUUGCAUUUCGUGGACCAGCCAGCAUUCAGCAACCCGAAAAGCUGAGGGACCAGGCCUCAAGACGCUCGGACAGCUGUCAACCACUGCCGCAGUUUUCCUAAGGAAGCAUUCAGUACAACGCGCGUGGGUGUGAUGCGAGGACGUCUGAAAAUACCACCUCAAGUUCAGCAACUUAGACCCACCAGCCAGCUGAGAAGUACACGCAGCAAACCAUAUGGGAGGACGGCGUACAGGCAGGGAUGGUGGCCAAGCAAAGGGAUCAAGAAGUUUAAAACUAGACUUAAAAUUCAGAAACAGAGAGACAACAGCCCCAGAAUUUUUUACUCUCUCGUACGUUCGAAUUGUGACCUGAAGUUCCAUUUUGCCUUAAAGUAACAGAAGAUGUUAGAGGGCGUCUGUUAAACGCUUUCUUCGUAAAAAAAAAAAGAACAUCUAUACUGUCUUAAAGUUCACUGUAGGGAUGACCACUGUAUUUGCUUGUUUUUAAUUAGAACACAUCAACGUCAGAAGUUGUCCAGGAAGUGACAUGUUUUUCGUUGUAAUGUUGAGAAACAACUAGUUAUUAAAUCGGUUUGCUGUUUUCGUCUGUCUCCAUUUUCUUUACUUGGUAGUACGUUCCAGCGCUUAUGGUUUAUAAGUAAUUUGAAAAGGAGCAUGUUUAAUAUAAAGUGCCAUGGAUAAAUACAGGUUCGUGUAUCUUGGGUAGUAAUUUGUUGAUAACUUGACGAGGCACGAAAGUUAAAAGGCAGCAGUUAUUUUGUCGUUUUAUCGAAACAUUUAGGCCAAAGUCUAAUUUUGCUUCGUAGGUAGAUCUGACAUGUUUAGCUGUAAUGAGUCCAAAGAUGACGCUAUAAAAGUUUCAGGUUAAUAUAGCCAGUAUUAAAAGGUCACUGCUUACUUUCUGUCAGCCUUUAUUGGCACACACAGGGUUAAGGCUUAUUUAUAGAAGACAUUAAGGUUUUGCUGCACAUAAAAUAAAAUGUCUUCAAUUUAUCACAUAUGCUUUCCAAGCUAGACCUAGUAAUAUAGGGUUGGCUACCCAGCGCAAAACGGCAUUGGCCAAAACUGGUUUCGUCAAGUAUGUAUCAAUUCAAGGGUUAGUGGAUUUUCCAGAGAGGUUGUUAUCAGUGAAAAGCUAGAACAGUAGUGAGGAGGACUCUAACACUUCAAUACAGAUUUCUUGUUUAGAUACAAUUAUCCCAAUGUAUGUGACGUAGCUUGGUUUGCUAAACGGCAGUUAAAACAAAUAUUUGAAACCGAAUGUCGACAUUUUUUUUGUUUAUACCCGAGUUCUGAUAGGGAGAAAUGGGAUUAUAUUGGGUAUUUAUUCUUGCAAUAUGUCUGGGCCAUUUGUGUACGUCGAAUUUGGAGAGAUCCGUUAUACGAAAGUUACAUCUGCUGCGAUAAUAGACCAUGGUUACAUACCGUGUCUAUUCUUUUUAUGGGGUUGGAAGUAUGUUUGGAGUUUGCAACAUCUGACAGAGGACAUUUCUAGUAGUUUUUAGAAGAGGACCGCCGGCGAUGCAAGAAAUAAAAAGUAUUAGACUGCA